CCUACGGGAGGCAGCAGUGGGGAAUAUUGGGCAAUGGAGGAAACUCUGACCCAGCGACGCCGCGUGCGGGAUGAAGGCCUUCGGGUUGUAAACCGCUUUCAGUAGGGAAGAAGCGAAAGUGACGGUACCUACAAAAGAAGCACCGGCUAACUAUGUGCCAGCAGCCGCGGUAAUACAUAGGGUGCAAGCGUUGUCCGGAAUUAUUGGGCGUAAAGAGCUCGUAGGUCGUUUGUUACGUCGGAUGUGAAAACCUGAGGCUCAACCUCAGGCCUGCAUUCGAUACGGGCAAACUAGAGUUUGGUAGGGGAGACUGGAAUUCCUGGUGUAGCGGUGGAAUGCGCAGAUAUCAGGAGGAACACCAAUGGCGAAGGCAGGUCUCUGGGCCAAUACUGACACUGAGGAGCGAAAGUCUGGGGAGCGGACAGGAUUAGAUACCCUGGUAGUCCAGACCGUAAACGGUGGGCACUAGUUGUGGGAACCUUCCACGGUUUCUGCGACGCAGCUAACGCAUUAAGUGCCCCGCCUGGGGAGUACGAUCGCAAGAUUAAAACUUAAAGGAAUU
rnacentral:rRNA from 1 species